AUGAGCUCCAGUCUGGUCAACUCUUUAGCCAAAGUGUACGAUCCAAACCCUCUUCAUGCUCAGAAGCUUCCUGGAAGGAAGUUCUCACUCAGUGGAUCGGAUAAGUCCCAAGCUCCUUCCUCCUCCUCACACCAGGAUGCUUCCCUGCUCCGCGUGGAGAGCAGGAUGGACUCCCUGAGCUCCCAGAUGGAGCACCUGCUCCACAUGCAGCAGAGCGUCCUGACCCGGCUGGAUGGCCUGUCCCAGGACGUGAGGAGCAUGGGACGGGAUGUGUCUCUAGAGGGAGGCGAGGGGAGACGCGGGUCUGGGGUGGAGGCGCUGUGCAGGGAGCUGCGGGGGGCCAUGGAGCGGGUGAGCGAGAGAAUAGAGAGUCAGGGACGGAGGUUGGAUGGGGUGGAGAAGCUGGUGGAGGGCACCCAGCAGGUCCUCAGCCUCAUCGGGGAGGCGGUGAAGAACUCCAGGCUGCUGGAGGUUUUGUUCAAACAGCCGGGAAACAAAACCAGCCGGAAGGCAAAAGAUGAAAAGGAUAAAGCUAAACAGAACCUGAAGGGUGGGAAGUCCCAGAAGAAAAGGAAACCUCACGACUCAUCAGGCGCCUCGUCUCUAAACGGAUCAGGGCCGCAGAAGCAGGUGGAGCAGCUCAACAGGGAAAACUCAGAGCAUUCCCAUGAAAACGCAGAAGCCGGCAUCCGGAACUCCGAGGAUGCAGGAAGUAAGGGCAGAAGACAGAAACCAACAGAACUGAUCCUGGAUGGGUCGAAUGCUUCGGCAGGCCCAGCAGAGGAGAGGAGGAAGAGGGAAGGAGAGGAUGACGAGGAUGACGAGGAUCUCUUUGAUGAUACGGAUGCAGAGGAAGAGGAGCAGCAAGCAGAAGCGGUUCCAGAACAGAAAGUGGAGAAUGAUGUAAAGAAGAGGCUGAAAGGAGAGGAAGAAGAGUUAGAAACGGCUGCAGAGGAAAAGUAUGUUUUAGCUACUCGAUGUCUCAGGAUUAUCCAGGAAAAUGAAAUACUCUGAAUUUGUUUUGCCUUUGAAGCUCGGAGGAGGCAGGAGACGUUGCUGCUUCCGGCAAACGCCACGUCACUGAGGAAGACCUGCUGAAGGACGACCUGAAGAAGAGCAGGGUGGAAAACGGGAAAGUGGGAACAGCUGAUGACCAAGAAGCCUCAGAAUCCCAGGAAGUGAAGGCAACAGAUGAGGAAGUUGGAGAGCCCGGAGUGACAGAAUUCCUCAUCGGUGAGAGUUCAGAAAACAACAAAACAUAGUCCAAAGGUCUUUUGGUUCUUUGUUUCUAACAUGUGGAGAUUUUAUUUAUUUAUUUAUUUUGGUAAUUUAAAAGGAAAAGAAAGAACACCGUAAGACAGAAUCUCAGUUGUAGUAACCAAAAUGGUGUAGGCUGAAGCCUAAAAAAAAAAGAAAUGACAAUAAUAAGAUAAAAGUAACGUAAUAAUAAAAAUGAGAGUGAGAUAAAAAUAAUAAUUAUGAUAAUAAUAAUUGAAAAAUAUUGAGCAACAACAAACAUAAUUCAGCAAGAGGACAAAUACCCAGAACUAUACUAAACUACCAGUAAUCUUAAUAAGUCCAUGUAUGAUAAUGAUCAAACCAGAGAUUUAAAUACUAUCACUUGUGCAAGAACAUUACAUUUUCCUUCACAUCUAUCAGACACACUAGCUCACAUACGGUCAUUAUGGUAGCAUGACAUCAUCUUCUUGACGUACAUUUUUUAAAUGAUUUAACAGUUUUACACGCCCUGAUUCCGGUGGCCAAGUUAUUCCAUAAUUUGACUCCUACUGCAGUACAACUCUGACUUCUAUAGAGAUGCAAAGUUUAAAAGAGGCGUGACACCAAGUCACAAGUUACAGCAAGAUUUCGCACAACUUUGAGGGAAUUCAGCUACCAGGACACCAAAUAAUAUACCACCACGUUUAAAAUUAGCUGAGGCAGCCUUUAUUGAGUUUUUUAAUGUAAACUGGUUUAGACGGCCAUCUUGAAUCCUUCACUAGUUGAUAAAUUGUUUAAUUUAAAUUAGGACCGUGACUUUAAUGCGUCAAUUGAUUAAUUAAUUAGAAAAAAUGAUGCAUUAAAAAAAGUCAACGCAUUUAAUCGCAGCUUGCAUUUCGAGCACGGCGGAACCUUUGUCAUUGCACGAUUUCCUCGUAAACUGAAUAUCACUGACGCACACAACAAUGCACAUUGCUAAUGGCUACUAAAACAGAAUAAAAACAGAAAGACGUUGCCUUGCUUGAACGGAUGCAGGAUUUAGGAAACCCGUCCGCCUCUUUUCUUACCUAUGAAAAAAUAAACUUCCGGACAACAACGGAGUCCGUGUCAUGGACAUUUUUCAGAGAUCGCCUCUGAUGCGGCUGCCCGGUGGCACCGGAAACUUUAUAAAAGUUGCGGUAAGCUAUAUUUUUAACAUUUACGUAACAUCUGUGCAGCGCUGAAAGCACCAGACAGAAGAUUUCUUUGCCCUAACAGUAGUUUAUGAAAGUAGUCAGACAAA
ensembl:lncRNA